rnacentral:rRNA from 1 species
GAUAAACGCUAGCGGCAGGCUUAACACAUGCAAGUCGAGGGGCAGCAUAGAUUGUAGCAAUACAAUUGGUGCGACCGGCGCACGGGUGCGUAACGCGUAUGCAACCUACCCGUCACAGGGGGAUAAUCCGGAGAAAUCUGGUCUAAUACCCCAUAACAUAUGGAUCGGCAUCGGUUCAUGUUGAAAUUUUCGGAGGUGACGGAUGGGCAUGCGUAGCAUUAGCUUGUUGGUGAGGUAACGGCUCACCAAGGCGACGAUGCUUAGGGGGACUGAGAGGUUUUCCCCCCACACUGGUACUGAGACACGGACCAGACUCCUACGGGAGGCAGCAGUGAGGAAUAUUGGUCAAUGGGCGCAAGCCUGAACCAGCCAUGCCGCGUGCAGGAUGACGGCUCUAUGAGUUGUAAACUGCUUUUGUACGAGGGUAAAGUGGGUUACGUGUAACCUUUUGAAAGUAUCGUACGAAUAAGGAUCGGCUAACUCCGUGCCAGCCGCCGCCGUAA